UAGUGUAACUUAUUUACAACAAGGAUAGUUGGAGACAUACCCAGUAUGUGGAUUUGAUAAAAACUCGUUUUCCCUUCUGUGUCUCUGUCUGUCUGCAAGGUACACAGACUGACCGUCUGUCUGCUCAAAACUUUUCUAUUGGUUGCAGACGAAGACACCGGUGUUGGUUGAUCAAUCCAACGUGUCACGGGUUGGUUGGGACAGUUCAUAUCCAAACCGGUUGUGUCGGUAGCGCUCCACCGCUACCCAAGUCCUCAAAACCGACAGGCACCGCUUUAUGACACUAUUUCACGGACAAAAAGAUGUUAGCCAGUCCACGUUAGUUGUGUUAGUCUCUCAGCUCUGAAAAUAGGGAAAAAGGGCUAACUUAUUUUAUGUAAUGUCCAAAAAUAUUUGUAUUUGCACGUUUCAUCGCCUGUGAUAGAAUUGUAUAGGCUACCUGUGUUGAUGCCCCCAAAAACACAAUUUGCCUAUAGUCUAGAAAUAACGUUCGCAGGUAUAACUCAAUGAUCAUGUAGCAAGUAACGCAAGCCUUAAUUUACACACAUACAUACAACCCAGUGACCAGGUGAAUAGGGGCUUCGUUAUCUUAUAAUGACAACAAUAUUUUCAUCAUUUUAAAAGUAGACUAGCUACUAUCGAAAUAAAAGUUAUUUUCAACAUAGGUGCAAUAUCCAAUAAUGUGUAAAAACCAAGAUUUUCGGUGGUUUGAGAUGUUGACAGACAUAUCGAUAUUCUGUUGAACACAAAUAGAUCGGCGUUGUAAAACCAAUCAACGAAGACAAAGAUUUAUUUUAUGGAAUAUCAAUCACUUUUAUUAUAUCCCCCUUUGUAAUGUACAUUUCAAUCCAACAAAUACUGGUAGCAAAAGUGCAGGUAUCGAUAUAUUAAAAGGUAGCUAGGUGGCUGUAGAAACCAACGGUAUUAGUCUACCACUCUGUGACACGCACAUGGGGCUCAAACUCAGCUCAGUGGAAAUUAAUAAAAGUCCUCAAUGAUCACAUUCGCAUUUACAAACGGAUAUUUACAAACGUUCUGUCAUACUUUCGCUGCCUGUGUUGGCUAGUUAACGAGUCCGUUUUGUUGUACAUUUUCCGCUGUCUUUAUAGCGUUUAUUUAUUUAUCUUUCUUUGCACGGGAUUGUCACUUGAUCUCCCGGAUAAACUGCCUUUUGCACAGCCAGAACAGGACUUUGGGAAACAUUCGUAUAUGUCUAUUUCUUUCAUACAAUUACCGGAUUCUUGUUUUUUUUGUGUUUUUUUUCUAUCUAAACCUCCUGUGGCACAAGGAUGCGUUGAAAUAUAAUAGAUUUUAAUGCAAAGUGGAAUUUGCGCGACUCCGGGUUCCCGGUCGUGUGUUGAUUGUGAGGACGAUCUCAUAUAGUUUGUGUGAUUUUGCUAAAAUGCAUCACCAACAGCGAAUGGCUGCCAUAGGGACAGACAAAGAACUGAGCGACUUAUUGGAUUUCAGUGCGAUGCGAAACAGCGAUUUGAAAAUGUUCCCAACAUCAAUGAUGUUCUCUCCUCCUGUUAGUGGUAAAAACGGACCAGCCUCCCUGGGAAGUGGACAUUUUGCAGGCUCAAAUAUGGAGGACAGAGCCAGUGCAGGAUCUUGGGGAAGUAGAAGUGCCCCUUCAAAGGUGAGGAA